CGUCUCACGCCCCGAACCCGCACUACAUCCGCGCUGUAAAAAGUGAAAUCAUUUAAUUUUUUUUUUGUGAUAACGUAAUUAGUGUCGGCUUCAGUUUCUGUGCGAUCGUGUUCGGUGACAAUCAUGAAGUUUGUUUUGUUUUUGUGUGUUGAGAUCAUUCUGUCAACAGCGAUACCAAUAUCAGAGGAAGAUAAAACAGUCAAUGGCCUUGAAACUGACCGUUCGUAUCAAAUCAUCGAAGAUGUUGAUGAUAUACCCGAUACUCGACCAAAACUACCCAUAAUAGCCAACUAUACCGUAAAAAGACCACUGAAUUUAGCCACAAUUAACAAUACUAAUGAAAAAAGCAAUAAAUUCAGUCUACUUCAAAUACAAUCUGAAACAGAACACGAAAACUUCUUUGCUCAAUUCGACGAUAAAACAGAAACAAAUCUAUUAUCUGGAAUAAAAAAAUAUUUUAGGCAAUUCAAGAAUGAAUUCCUGAACGGUGUUCAAACUUGGAUCAAAAACACGAUUGACAGUCUGAAGGAAUGAAAUUCUAUAAAUACAUCAAUUAAUUAAGAAGCUGCAAAACGACGCGAAGUUCCAUAUCUUCAUCAAGGUAUGAUCUACCAGUGACGUCACUCCGCUGCCAUAAGUCGAAGCAUUUUUUACAAAGGAAAAGGCGAUGUACUAAUUAUUUUAGCACUUUAACAGAAGAUAUCUAUUGUUCUAAUAUUUUAAAGAAAUUCAUCGUUCAACAAUAUUUGAUUGAUGUUAACAACAGUCAAACAUUUUGUAUAGUUUCCAAAAAAACAACGAGCAUCUAACUUAGCCGUUGUAAUGACUCUUGGAAUCUUCUGUUAUCGCCUGAAAUCAAUAACGUUGUUUAAUCUUGUUCUGAUUUGUCAAUGUUUGGACUUUAAUCAGCAAUAUAUUAACCGCAUUUAAUAAGUUAUUUAUCAGUUAAUAUUAAGGCCUUAUUGUUAAUAGUUUUAUCAUUAUUAAACAAACUGUGUGAAA